CUAGACAGAUGUAAGCAUUUUGGCCCUACUUAUGACAGAUUGAUCGACUCGGUCGACUAGAGUUUACUUUCAAAAUGAAAACGAAAGCCCACUUGCAUAAAUCAUAAAACCCAUAUAAUCCAGUUGUAUUAAAACCUAAAAACCAAAGCCUAUCAGCCUUCAGUGGUCUCCAAGCCCGUCCGAGUCAAUGUUACUUCGAUUUCCUUCGGUCUAUUCUUCCCUCUAGAAUGGCUGAUGCAUAGGUUUAUGACCCGUCUGAGGACCCCGAAAGGAAGGCCAAAUCUACUGAUCCGCCAUGGAAAUAUGGAAAUUAAGUUGGAAAUUGCUAUAUCAGAUUGCAUGUUAACAUUAUUUUCUUCUCUUCUCUAGUUUUGUUUCAAUUCUCUCAUGAUCUUUAUCUUCGUAGGUUUAGGUCUUUAAGAUCUCCUAUAAGUAUAAAUAAGAGAAAAGGAGAAAAGGAAUAGUUAGAAGUGAGAUGGAAGUUUAAACACUAGUCUCGACUAGUCACGACUCGACUUGCGGAAAGUCCGGUCGACUGUAACAAUCAUGGUCUGGGUCCUGUAACCCGAACUUAUCAAACAUAUCAAUUACUUAGUAUUUAUAUACGUUUUGUUUUGUA